UUACCUGGAGGUUCAUCUCAUUCACUAUAGUCUUUGUCCUUUUGCUCAGGUUUUGUCUUCCUAACAAUUAAAAACCCUUGACAUUAUAUUAUACAGUAAUUUGUUUGUUUAUUAUUGUUUCUUUGUUAGGAUAUAAACUCUUUGGAAGUCUGUCUUCAUGUUGUUUAUUGCUUUGUCUUCCCUGGUUAUGACAGUGCCUAGGGCAUAGUAGGAACUCCAUGCACGCUAUUUUUAGGAUGAAUCAAUCAAUGGGUACAGUACUUUUCAAGUGCAGUCAUGGAAAGUCACAUUUACCUUGGCAUUUUAAAGACUCUUAGAAGUCUGGCAAUUCUGUUUAACCUUGUUUAAGGCCUUCCUGUUUCACAUAAUUGUUUAAACGUGAUAAACUUUUUCCCCAAUAUAUCACUAGUAAAAGCUUAUACAAUAUUGCUCUGUUGAACCUGAAUUGGGAACUCGGCUUUGUUGUUCUCACUCUUUCUCUGUUUUUUAUGCUAUCCUUAUCAGAUUUUGAGUCUUCUGGGAAUCGAGGCUUCUCUAGUUAGUCACCUGAAAACUUCAUCCUUCUCACAUUUUCUGACCUGCCCUGAAGACUGUGAAACCAUGAUCCUCCUUACACCUGCUAUAAUGAAGGCUGCUUCUUAGGAAAACUCAAACAGUCCCUUGAGGAAAAAAAUGAGAAAAACAAACAGAUCAUAAGGGCCUCCUAGGAAAAGGAGUACGUCAAGGCUGUAUAUUGUCACCCUGUUUAUUUA
rnacentral:lncRNA from 1 species